GCCCGCAUUCUACCAGCCAGCCCCUCACAAAGAAGCGUAUUACGACACUUGGGUAGACAUAUAGUCAACACAAUGCCACACAAACAAAUUGUGUAGGUGUGCGACGUACAUCGACGAGGAGAAUACAAACAAGAAUGCAGAAUCUGCUUCCAUUGUCUAACACUAGAUGGCUGCACUGUUCUUAUGUACUACAUAAGCACCUGGCGUGAUCUAGCGAUGAGAACAGGUAACAUAAUAUCAACUUUUUGCUGGUCCGGUUAGGAACUCAGGAAAUAACGAUGGGAAGGACGUUUUAAACAUUGAUUGUUGCUACCGGGACAAAGCUGUAAAACAAUACACGUAGGUAAUAAAUAAAUACAACUGGAUGAUACGUCA